rnacentral:pre_miRNA from 1 species
AUGCAGAUCACCUGGGGAUCUUGUUAAAAUGCAGAUUUUGAUUUUGGAUGUCUAAGUGAGGCCUGAGAAUCUUUGAUUCUAACAAGCGCCCAGGUGGUCCCAAU